AAUAUUGUAUAAACUGAAUAACGGUCAUUAAUCGAGAACAUAACAUAAAGAUUUGGUUGAAAAAGCAUAAGAGAAAGUGUGUUUACAGCCUCUAUAUGGGUUGACUUUUGUUCAAAUGUUACAUCAAAAGGUCAAACGAUAUUCUUGAUUCGUAGUAGGAAAUGAAUUGGAGGUGGGGUCAUUUAUAAUUGAAUUUUUGUAAUGAAGGAAAGAUGAAUUGAUAUAGGUAUGAAGAAGAGGAGAAAAGAAAAGAAUCUUGAAGCACCGGCCUAAAUGGAAGUAAUGUCUAUGUAAUGAUGUGGUGUUUUGAGAAAAUAGGAGUGGGCCCAAUCAAUAGUGGACACCCAAACUACCUAUGGCCCAAUAAGGCCCUUUUCUACAGUCUCCCCCACUCACUUCACUCAUUCAU
rnacentral:lncRNA from 1 species